AAUAAUAAUAAUAAUAAUAAUAAUAAUAAUAAUAAUAAUAAUAAUAAUACAUAAAACGUUUGCAGAUUGUGAUGAGUAGCAUAAUGGUGAAUUGUUUUCGAAAAGGAAACCUAUGUAAUGUCGGUCGGAUCAAAUAGGUCGGCUAUUAAUACUACAACCUUCUAAUCUUGGCUUCUCACAUAUAUCUACUGGUUAGCAAGCAAUUAUCUUUUUAUUUCAUACGUUUAUCAUCAGCAAAUAAACAAAACUGUUUGGCAGAGAAAUAAGGAGGGAAAAAAUAGAGGGUGUAUCGAAAUCACAAAAUUCCGUUCAUCGAGCCAAUGAAACACGAGUUGCAAAAGUAAAGUAAAAACUUACGUACCAAUCUGAAAGGGUCAAAAUGGAGAUUUACGAUCCGUCGAAAUUCAUCGUCUCCAAUCGCCAGAAAACAAAAUCAGCGCCGGUGUGUUUUCAGUUCGAUUGGAGGUGGGGAGUGGAAGUUCAGUGGUGGUGUGGAGGAGAUGAGAUGGUGGUGGUGGUGUGGUUGUCGCUUAACACACCCUGGCGCCACAACAUUUCUGAAAUCGAUCACAAGGAGAACAAUCUAAUCUACACCUAUGUGGGUACAAGAAGCCAAAGAAAGUGCAUGAUUCCGAUUUAGAUUUACCUGGUCUCAGCUUGACUGAAAUGUUGAAAAUUUGCUCGGCUAAGUUGCAAAAUUCAUGGUUACGCACGACAAUGCAAAUGCUAUUUUGAAUUACUGUACCAUUUGUUAAAAGUUGCAGAAUGGUUUGUAGAAUUUACUGUAUCAAUUUGCAAAGUGGUGGUGGCGAUUGAACUCUUCACUUCGUCAUUGCUCGUUUCACCAUUCGUGCUUUGUCUUGAAGAGUUGCAGGUGAUGCUCGCUCUUGGCUUAACUCCGUUGAAGAUAUCUUAUGUGGCAUGCUAGGUAGUUAAGGACAUACUCUAGGAAUAGAAAAGCAUGUACAGGAAAUUCAUCUAAAAAGUAUUGGAACCCAAUUAUGAUUGGCCGGUGUAUUAAUUAUUAAAAAUUACCAAUCUUCUCUUGGGGUUUAGCAUUUGCAAUGUGUGCUGGUGUUUUAGUUUUGGGUAAAUUACACUUUUCGUCCUUUAUGUUGUAUCGGAUUGUAGUGGAUAACUUUUAACUUCAAUAAUUACAGCCACAAUCAUUUAUUUGGAUAACUCAUUACGUAUUUCAUCUUUUAGCACUAACCAGGUUAAAUAUUAGAGCUAAGUCUAGUCACAUGAGGGUGUGACACUGGUGAUGUAUCAUGUGGCUGUGAUGAUGUAUUAUGUGGCAGUCUUUGUUCGUCUCACUCCGAUGUUUCCGCCAUCGGUUGGGGUGUGACAAUGGUGAUGUAUUAUGUGGCAGUGAUGUCGGGCUUAUGCAACGGUUGUAUUAUUUGAGAGAGAGAGAGUGUGUGUGUGUGUGUGUGUGUUUAAUGAGGAUGAAAUAAGGUACAGCAAUUAUAUA